UACGUAGGGGGCAAGCGUUGUCCGGAUUUAUUGGGCGUAAAGAGCGUGUAGGCGGCCAUACAGGUCCGUUGUGAAAACUCGAGGCUCAACCUCGAGACGUCGAUGGAAACCGUAUGGCUAGAGUCCGGAAGAGGAGAGUGGAAUUCCUGGUGUAGCGGUGAAAUGCGCAGAUAUCAGGAGGAACACCGGUGGCGAAGGCGGGUCUCUGGGCCGAUACUGACGCUGAGGAGCGAAAGCGUGGGGGAGCGAACAGGA
rnacentral:rRNA from 1 species